AUUAUACAUGUUGGAUUUGGAUAUAACAUAGGAGAAAAUCAGCGUUAUGGAUUUGUCACCUGUUUACACUACCAAAUUUAGCUCUAGGAGUCGUUAUGAUUUUUGUAUCGCCGCAGUAUCAGUGUGGUGGAUACUCCAGAUAGUGUAGUUUACUGUUACGCUCGUGCUGGAAUGCCGAGCCUAUUUUUUUUCAGUAGAGUUUAGAUUGUUCCGGACUGUUGGGUGCCGUCGGGAUUGACGGUGGACCCGGAUUGCUGUUUUGGCAUCAGAUUGUGCCGAGGGCACGUGACUUGUGGUUGGUAGACCAGUUUGACCCUGUGUACUUGAUUAUAGAAUGUGAGAGCCUGAUUGAGCUCGACAGAGAUAUGCUUGUAUACUCGGUUGGGUAGCUCCCACGAGUG
rnacentral:lncRNA from 1 species